CGAGACUCUGAGCCAGAUCUGCAGGACGCACCUCGGACCAUCCAUCAGCACGGAACAGAACACACCAAAUACAACGCAGGAAGACAUUCAGAGCAAAACGGAGACACAAGAUUCUUGUCAUGAAAAAGUCAGCAACCCUGAAAC